UUAAGGCAUGAAGGGCAGGCAGCAGCCUUGUCGACGAUCAGCAAAAGUCGUGAUCCAGAUUUGCAGCACCCUUCAGCGCCAAACACUGAUGAAAAACUCGCCCGGAAUUGACUGAUGAAUACAGCAACGAUGAACUCGAUCAGCAAUCUCACUCAAUCAGGCCCGGAACAACCACAGCACGAAAAACACGUACAAAAAACGGAAAACUAAUCAGAGCGCAAACCAGAACACAACCGUUGAGACCAAGUGUCAAGUGUCCAAUUGUCAAUUUGCUCUGAAGCACUUCACCUCCUAAUAUCCAUACACCUUGGGGUAACUGUACCAGUUUUCGGCACGCUAGUGCAGCAGUUUCACAAAAACUGCUCACACAUAAACAUUUUUUUGAAUUAUUUUUCAUUACAGCGAUGUUAUUCUAGUUUAUAAACUAUCAUAGUAUGUUACACUAUUUUGUAUUUGCAGGUUUAAAGCCCUUUUUCAUAAAUAUUCGUGAAAAGGCAAACAUUUAUUUUGCUCCUUUUUUCGACAGGCUGUGUUCCUAUUUUCGGCAGCGCGAAUACGGGUCAGAAAAUGUUUUUAUCAAUGUAUGUAUCAAUGUAGCAAUGUAAAUAUAUACAAAAAAAAUGUUUAAAGCAAUUUAACACUCUUCCUUUCCUAAGAUUGGUGUUAGAGAGCACUUUAAUUAUUAGUUUUAUGUUGCUUAUUUUGGCACGUUUUGACAGCCAUUUUGAUGCGAUGUUUAAACAGAGCAGUCAUUGAAGAAAAUUGACAGUUUGAUGGUUAUAGCGUACGGUGCGAACUGGCUAAAAAAUAUUUAUUUUUCUCUUAAGUGCAAUUCUCUUAAGUUAGUGCAUUUUUUUGUCGUAAAAUUGGUGAUAUUUGGUACAAGAAGAAGAUAACUUGUUUAUCGUGAUUUUAAAAUUCCGAACAUGUUAGAAUAAAUUAAAUAAGCAUAAAAUCUUUAAUAUACACCACUUUUUCAUUGUUUUACUGUUCUGAUUCUCUUAACCACAAAACCUGCCGAAACAUUGGCUGACAGCAAAGCUGCCAAAAAAAAGCACAAUAAAUUUAACAAUUAAUUAAUUUUGAAAAAUACGUAAUGAAAUGGUGUCAAACCUCGUUUGUGAAUAACAAAUAAGUACACUUUCACUAUAAAAUUGGGUUUUGUGAAAUUUUUUACCGCAUUUGUGCAGAAUUUCACGUUUUUAGCUACUCUGCCGAAAAUAGGUACACUGCCGAAAACUGGUACAGUUACCCUAGCUCAAUUCUGCAAACAGAGCUACCCGUCUUGCGCGAUAGCUCUUGAACUGUCAUUACCGUUUUGUUUACAUGUUUACUGGAUUGUUUGGACCGAAGCUUGUGUGUUUAGUGAAGAGAAAAAAUUAUCAAAGUGUCUGCACGAAGAUGGCCUUAAACACGAGUUUGAUAGGUGAGAAAAUAGAAAAAAGAAGGUAAGUAUAGCUCAUAGACACGGCUGUACACUAUAUUUUGGGACCACCAAUUCCAAUCGUCGGCUCCACUAGUUGAAAACACAAACACGUGCCCAUUGCGAUUUGCCGGAUCAAACAAUGGCCUCUAAUCGGAAAGAAACGCUACAAGAAGUAGCAUUUGAGAUAUUGAACAUUAGAUUGCAAUGUAUAUGUAUUUUUGUCUAUGAUUACCUUUAGUGUAUUAGCUUUUGUGCCUGCCUCUGUUUCGUUAUUGUAGAUUGUAGAUUACAAAUCAUGAUCUCGCUUUACUGUCACCAAUUUCACUUGCUAAUCUUAUUCAUAGCAUCAAUUAAUCAAUGGUAUAUGUAUGCAUUAUCAUCAUUUGGUAGUAUUUGUUUAAUCAUCAGUUGUCAGUAUCUUUCGGGUCAGAUUAAUUAGAAUUAGGAAAGGGUAAUAUUUAUUAAUUGAAAUUUAUAAUGAUAUUUCCGACAAUUGAAAUGCCACAAGAAAUUGUGCUAAAUUUAAUCUGCAGUGUCGAAAUAAGCGCCUUUGGGACAGGAGCGGUAGCUAUUAUACAAACCGCAACAAAUAACUCGAUGCUUGGGAGACGAUUGGGCAAGAUCUUGGAAUUCCAAACGCCACUUUACGAAAGAAGUGGCGGUCACCCCACGGAUCCUACAGGCACUACAAGAAGCUCUAUGAGAGCAGCCUUGUGACCGGUUCUGGAUCUGCCGAGUUCUAUCGACCCAAGUGGUUCGCAUAUGAAGCAAUGGCAUUCCUCCAAGCAACUACAGACGGUGGCGCAAGGAUAGAUACGUUGGGAGACAACACGCUACCAGUUCGACACAUCAGCUCACCUCAGCGAUCCACCGACACUCCAUGCUAGAAGAUGUCAUCAUCAUGGCUGCUUCUACAUCUGAUCAGUUUGAACCAGUCAGCCAAACCAGCCAGCAGUCAGCCAAACCACCAACUCCUCCUCCUCAGACUGCGUCUGUUGCUCCCAAGCGUCGUUGGCAGGAAACCAAUUUGAAAUACAAUGAGGAAGUGUUGGCGACGCUAACGAAUGUUUCUCAAACUGCUAUGGAAUUGCGAUCGGCUGGAGAGGAGAAUAAAUUGGCACCACUGUACGCUGGUAUGCUGAAUUGGUCGCCGAAGCGAUAGAAAGCGAUGCUAGUGAGAUUCCAGUGCAUGAUUGCAGAAGAGAAUAUUGUGCGCUUUGUUGAGAAAGAAGACCACGAUCCUCGGGAAUAAAAUAAUAAGACUCACGUCAAUCACGGAGCUUGCCUUCAUCAGACAUAAUCUGUAUUUUUAUGAUUGUUCCAAUGCGCGAUGAAAUUCCGUUCUUUAUCUCCAUUUGAUUAAUAAAUCGCUAUUGCCUUUUGUGUU